GUAAAAAUGGAUUAUUGAAAGGUUCUGAAAUGAAAUGAAGAAUGUUUUCAAUUAAGGAAUGAAUUGCGGGGUUGAUGUCAUUAUCGGGGGGACUUUCCUGGUGAACCAGACGCUUGCCCGGGCGCUUGUUUCCGAGGGAAUCACGGGUGCGUCCAUUGUCAACAUUGCCAGUAUCGUUGGCAAGACCGGUAAAAUUGGACAAGCGAACUACGCCGCGUCCAAGGCGGGCGUCAUAGGGCUUACAAAAACGGCGGCGAUGGAACUGGGAAGGAAGGGUAUCCGAGUGAACGCGGUACUUCCGGGCUUCACUGAGACGCCGAUGACUGACGUCGUCCCGGGAAAGGUCAAGGCCACUGUGACGUCACUCAUACCUCUAAACAUUAUGGGGCAAUCGGAAGAAAUUGUGGAGGUGUGGCUGUCCUCAUGUUCGCUACCCGCGAUCGACCCAUCCCGUUACUCAUGAUAUGAGAGCUGAACCGAAAUGAGUCGGUCGUGGCCGGUAUCCAGCUAUGGCCUAUUCUUAGCUUGUGAUAAUGCCAGCUACAUUAUUAGGGCGGCUUUAAAGGCCACACAAAUGUUUUUAUUUAACAAUAAUGUUAUUUUUUUUUGUUAAAGUUAACAACGUGAUUCAGGACAUCGUUGUUAACAUUUUAACGUGAACUUUUGAUGAUGUGCUAAUGUACGUAUAUAAAAAUAAACAAGUACAGCUACUACAGCUAUCUCGAAGGCAGUAAGAAAACCAUCAGAUCUUAAGUGUACCUCUCUACCAGGGCAGUAACGACUUUAAAGUUAACAACGAUGACGUUAACAACGUUGUUAACUUUAACAAAGUUGUUAAUAAUCGGCCCAUUAUUUCAUACUCACUUGUGAAUAAUACCUAUGUAUAUUUUUCUAUGCUCAUUUAGAAAUUGCGGAAGCGUGCCUAUUCCUUGCCAGUGACAGAGCCAGCUAUAUUACUGGGGCGGCGCUAGAGGUCACAGGAGGCUUAUCACCAUAGCGAAGAACCACGCAGCAACAGAAAUGAAACCACGCAGCAACAGAAAUGAAUAUCUAUAGUCAAUCCAUCAUGUGAUACUACCUAACUACAACGGCAAUGAUUAUAUUAAGUCAAUCCAGUAUGUGACGCUAUCUAACUACAAAGGCAAUGACUAUAUAUUUUGAGUCAAUCCAGCAUGUGAUUCUACCUAACUACAACGGCAAUGAUUAUAUACAGUCACUCCAGCAUGUGAUAAAACCGCAACGUUGAUGUCCAUAAUGGGAUUUAUAAUGAUGCAAAUCAUUAACAGCCAAAACUCGCUAUGUCGAAGUCGUUUGGAUCUCAGUUAACGCUUCGAGAUAACCAACAUUCGACAUAACCGAAAUACAAAACAUGUCUUACUGAUCCAAAAUAUUCGAUACAAGUUCGACAUAACCGAAGCAUCGAGAUAAAUGAGUUCGACAUAGCAGGUUUUGAAUGUAUAUGUUAAUGAUAAAAACAGUCAAAUUACUUGCUCACGUGGACCUUUCAGUCAUUUCACAUUUAUUUGGGCCAAUUGUUUAGAACUUUGUUUAAGUUAACAACGUUGUUUAAGGCAUCGUUGUAAACUUUAAAGCUGCACUCUCACAGAUUGAACGUUUGACAUUUUUUUUUUUUUGUCUUGGAACGAGCCAAUUUUUGCGAAAAUCCAUUGAAACCAAUUAAAUAAGACUGCUGGCAAAAUAAUAAGAUCGCAGAAUUUAGUAUUUCAGUUAAAAAAUUGAUGUUUUAUGCAUUUUUCUUAAACGUAAGUAACGGUUUAGGCCAUGAAACAUUAAUUUUCGAAUGGAAAUAUGAAAAUCUAUGAUCUGAUUUUUUGUCAACAAUCUUACAUAAUUGGUUUGCAGAUAUGUACGCAAAAAUUUGUACAGAUGAAACACGUGUCUCAAAUCUUGUUAGAAAUUGUAGUUCACAACUGUAUAAAUUAAACUUCCAGAGCAGUUAAGAUUAUAAAGUUAACACGUUUAUAGGUUUACUUGUUUAUGGGUCCAUGUUAAUAUUCACAAAGGGUAUCAUUUCUAGUACAUACUAGGAGUAAACCUUUGUACUUAAAUCCAGGGACGGUUUUCAUAGAAAAUCUUUUUCCUUAUUAAAGUUUUUCACUGGUCAUAUGAAAUAAAUACUUAAUACUUUCUGAAAUACUUAAUUCCCAUUAACUUAAUUUAAAAGAAACAUACUUUAUUUUUAAGAUACUUAUGCUCGUUCACGGUCGAACCCGUUGGCUCGAACUCGCUUGGCUCGAAUUUCUCGUUGGCUCGAACUGAAUGAAAAGGACCGAUUUCUUUAUCCUGCAGGUAAGCAUUCCUGCUUGGCUCGAAUUUUUCGAGGCUCGAUGUAAUUUUCCCGGUCCCUGGGAGUUCGAGCCAACGGGGUUCGACUGAAUAUUUUAUUUGUUGACUAUACAUGAAAUCGACCUAAGUAAAGAAAAUACUUUUUUAUCAAUGCCGGCCCAGACGUUGUUUUCUUUUCAAAGUCGGGUGAGGUAUUUGCUAUUCUGUUUUGAAUAUUUAUUACGGUGUUGUGGGUUUAUAUUAUGUAUGUGCCUUUUGAAGUUAUAUUUAUUGUGAUAUGUAAUUCUAUAAUUAAUCAAUUGAAUGAAACUAAA